rnacentral:rRNA from 1 species
AAGGAAUAUUGCGCAAUGGGCGAAAGCCUGACGCAGCGACGCCGCGUGGGGGAUGAAGGUCUUCGGAUUGUAAACCCCUUUCGGGAGGGAAGAUGGAGCGAGCAAUCGUUCGGACGGUACCUCCAGAAGCAGCCACGGCCAACUUCGUGCCAGCAGCCGCGGUAAUACGAAGGUGGCAAGCGUUGUUCGGAUUCACUGGGCGUACAGGGUGUGUAGGCGGUUUGGUAAGCCUUCUGUUAAAGCUUCGGGCCCAACCCGGAAAGCGCAGAGGGUACUGCCAGGCUAGAGGGUGGGAGAGGAGCGCGGAAUUCCCGGUGUAGCGGUGAAAUGCGUAGAGAUCGGGAGGAAGGCCGGUGGCGAAGGCGGCGCUCUGGAACAUACCUGACGCUGAGACACGAAAGCGUGGGGAGCAAAC